UACGUAGGGGGCAAGCGUUGUCCGGAUUUAUUGGGCGUAAAGAGCGUGUAGGCGGCCAGGUAGGUCCGCUGUGAAAACUCGAGGCUCAACCUCGAGAUGUCGGCGGAAACCAUCUGGCUAGAGUCCGGAAGAGGAAAGUGGAAUUCCCGGUGUAGCGGUGAAAUGCGCAGAUAUCAGGAAGAACACCCGUGGCGAAGGCGGCUCUCUGGGACGGUACUGACGCUGAGACGCGAAAGCGUGGGGAGCGAACAGG
rnacentral:rRNA from 1 species